rnacentral:rRNA from 1 species
UACAGAGGGGCAAGCGUUGUUCGGAAUUACUGGGCGUAAAGGGCGCGUAGGCGGCCCGCUAAGUCGAACGUGAAAUCCCCGAGCUCAACUCGGGAACUGCGUCCGAUACUGGCGGGCUUGAAUCCGGGAGAGGGAUGCGGAAUUCCAGGUGUAGCGGUGAAAUGCGUAGAUAUCUGGAGGAACACCGGUGGCGAAGGCGGCAUCCUGGACCGGCAUUGACGCUGAGGCGCGAAAGCUAGGGGAGCAAACGGG